AUACAUGCAAGUCGUGGGGUAGCGCAGUGUAGCAAUACAUGGGCGACGACCGGCAAACGGGUGCGUAACACGUACGCAACUUACCCACUACUGGUGAAUAGCCCAGGGAAACUUGGAUUAAUACACCAUAUUAUAUAGGAUUGGCAUCAAUUUUAUAUCAAAGCUUCGGCGGUAGUGGACGGGCGUGCGGUUGAUUAGAUAGUUGGCGGGGUAACGGCCCACCAAGUCUACGAUCAAUAGCUGAUGUGAGAGCAUGAUCAGCCACACGGGCACUGAGACACGGGCCCGACUCCUACGGGAGGCAGCAGUAAGGAAUAUUGGGCAAUGGACGCAAGUCUGACCCAGCCAUGCCGCGUGAAGGAUGACGGUCCUCUGGAUUGUAAACUUCUUUUAUCUGGGACGAAAACCACCUUUUCUAGGGUGCUUGACAGUACCAGGUGAAUAAGCACCGGCUAACUCCGUGCCAGCAGCCGCGGUAAUACGGAGGGUGCAAGCGUUGUCCGGAUUCACUGGGUUUAAAGGGUGCGUAGGCGGGCAGGUAAGUCAGUGGUGAAAUCUUCGAGCUUAACUCGGAAACUGCCGUUGAUACUAUCUGUCUUGAAUAUAGUGGAGGUAAGCGGAAUAUGUCAUGUAGCGGUGAAAUGCUUAGAGAUGACAUAGAACACCAAUUGCGAAGGCAGCUUGCUACACUAUUAUUGACGCUGAGGCACGAAAGCGUGGGGAUCAAACAGGAUUAGAUACCCUGGUAG
rnacentral:rRNA from 1 species